rnacentral:rRNA from 1 species
AUUGAACGCUGGCGGCAUGCCUUACACAUGCAAGUCGAACGGCAGCAUGAUCUAGCUUGCUAGAUUGAUGGCGAGUGGCGAACGGGUGAGUAAUACAUCGGAACGUGCCCUGUAGUGGGGGAUAACUAGUCGAAAGAUUAUCUAAUACCGCAUACGACCUGAGGGUGAAAGUGGGGGACCGCAAGGCCUCAUGCUAUAGUAGCGGCCGAUGUCUGAUUAGCUAGUUGGUGAGGUAAAGGCUCACCAAGGCGACGAUCAGUAGCUGGUCUGAGAGGACGAUCAGCCACACUGGGACUGAGACACGGCCCAGACUCCUACGGGAGGCAGCAGUGGGGAAUUUUGGACAAUGGGCGAAAGCCUGAUCCAGCAAUGCCGCGUGUGUGAAGAAGGCCUUCGGGUUGUGAAGCACUUUUGUCCGGAAAGAAAUGGCUCUGGUUAAUACCUGGGGUCGAUGACGGUACCGGAAGAAUAAGGACCGGCUAACUACGUG